ACUGUUGUUGCAUAAUUAAAGAUGUCUAGACGCUGUUUCUUUAGAUGUGAGGGCAAAAUGUCCCUUUAUGGCCUUCCUAAGGCAGAGGACAUCAGGAUGCAGUGGAUAAAAUUCAUGUUUAAUACGGUUCCGGCACAAUACAGUCAAAAGCUGUUCAUAUGUUCACGGCAUUUUUCCCAUGACUGCUUCGUGAACCGUAACGAAUUUGAAUCUGGUUUUUCGCAACGUCUUCUCCUGAAAGAUGGAUCAAUUCCUACUUUGUUUGGAUUACCCUGCACUUCUGGAUCACAGGCUGUAAGUAUCCAUGUCUUUUGUUUACCACUUACGUUACCGGAGCUUAACUUACGUGCGUGUGGAGCGAGCGUGCAAGCUAUUUAUUGUAUUGUAAUAUUGUAUUUCAUAAGCCACGUACCAUAUUUACCCACACGUAUGUUGAAUUAUGUAGACUAUCGGUUUUAACAUGUUGUAAUUCGUUUUUAAAUGUUGAUUUAGACGUGUUUACAAACUUGCUACCAGCUAAACUGUUAGCUUUACAGCUGUAGCAGCCGAUCCUGUUCCCCUCGGAAUGUCUGUUCCCCUUGUCGUUUUUUGUACACCCAGCUGUUUUUUCUUAAUAUUUAUUUUAUAGUUUUAAUUGUUGUAAGCUGUAUUAGGUUGUACAAACUCUGUAAAUAUGCUAUACCAUACAAAAAAAAAAAAACACGCAGAUUUUCUUGGGUACCUGCGCCUGCGCUGUCAGUAGAAACGCUUUAUCGACUGGAAGGGGGAACAGACAUUCCGAGGGGAACAGGGUCGGCUGCUACACCCGGUAAAGUCAAACUCUUAAGUAGAGAUGAUAUAUUUUACUGUUGUAUUUACUUAAAGCUGUAGCUAUUUUAGAUUUUGAAACAAAGUAAACACGUCCUGUGUGUUACUCUAAUGGGGCAUUUAAUAUGUAAUGCGUGAACGUCUGGGUGCGUUAUAGUCUAACGAUAGUCGUUGUCCUCUAUUGUUAUGUCCUUUUGGCUGAUUAUAUGUUUGUUUUAUUUUCUAUUUUCCAGAGUACAUCGCAGCAUGUACCCUACACUGUAGAAAGGAAACAUGUAGAAUGCCAAACUGAUCCUCCACAUGCAACAUCAGUGGGCACACAGUAUGAUCAGUCAAAAAAACAGAAAUCAGUCAGCACACAAUUGUCCUUUGGUAAACUAAGGGACUGGCAUAUGAGGAGCAAAGGAUCCCAGGCAGCAGUGUUGUGUCACAGUGUUUCCACUGAAACAACAUCAGCGUACGCAGAUUUCCCAUUCGGAUUACAAUCUCCAAUCUCUUCAACACCUAUGAAGACCUCUGCUUUUAAUCCAAAGAAAAGACGUCGCAUAGAGUUGGAGGAGGAAGAUACUGAGAGCGAAACACUAUGUGAACCUCACGACACCACAUAUAACCCAGAAGACACAGUUGUUACUGAAGAAUCAGAACUGUCAUUUGCGCAAAGUUCCUCAUACAAUGAAAAAAAAUAUGUUGUAUUUGAAAGCUGCCUCCGAGACUUGUUCGACAUCUGUCCACUUUGCCGGAGGAAGUGUGAUGUUCGUCAACGGCAACAGGGAACUUUUGUGGCAUUCAGUCAACUUUGCUCAAACUGCAGUUACAACAACAGUGGAAUAGCCAGCCCAUUGUUGGAAGUACACCUACAGGAAAUCUUCUUCUGUCUGCUGCAACGUAUUUCACUGGUAAUUCAUUCAUCCAGAUAGAAAAGGUUUUCCGUGCCAUGAAUCUCCAAGUUUUUCAAUAUGACACAUUCAGGAGACAUGCAAGGAAUUUGUUGGAACCGGCUAUUGUCCACAAGUGGAAAACAGACCAAGCGAAUAUGCUUUUGGAGUUGCAGAAGAAGAAUAAAAUUGCAAUUGCUGGAGAUAUGAGAGCAGACUCACCAGGACACUCAGCAAAGUAUGGUAGCUACACUCUACUCGACUUGAACACCAACACCAUAAUCGACCUUCAGCUUGUCCAGAGCAAUGAAGUUGGAGGAAGCUAUCACAUGGAGAAGGAGGGCCUGAAGCGUUCCCUAGAUCUUCUGGAUUCAAAUGGUCUGAUGGUGGACUACAUUGUGACUGACCGACAUCCACAAAUCCAAAAGUUUUUGAGAGAACGCAGCAUUACACAAUACUAUGAUGUGUGGCAUUUUGAAAAAGGUUUGUCAAAGAGACUAGCCCUUCUGGCAGAACAAAAGGGCUGCGAGGUUUUAAAGAAAUGGUUGCGCAGUAUUAGAAAUCAUGUUUAUUGGUGCGCAACGUCUUCAACUUCUGGACCUGAGAAGGUGGCCAAGUGGAACUCCUUGAUAAACCAUCUUCAAAAUGUGCAUGUCCAUGACGACCCUACAUUUUCCAAAUGUGAACAUCCGGACCAAGAGUCUACAAAUUCAACGAAAUGGUUAACACCAGGGUCAAUGGUUCUACAUAAAGUAGAAAAAAUCUUAGUCAAUAAGAGAGUCCUCAGGGAUGUCGGGAAGCUAAGCCAUCACCAUCAAACAUCAUCAGUGGAGGCCUUCCAUAGCCUGAUUCUUCGAUUUGCACCCAAAAAUGUGGUCUUCCCAUUUAUUGGAAUGCUGUGCAGAUUGUACCUUGCAACCAUAGCCUGACUAUGUCAGACUUCGUACUUCCGCUAAAUUUCAUUACGCUUCUGUACUCAGUCUGAGAUACCUCCCAUUCAAACCGUUUUCCACCGGUCUCAAAACGACCGUCCAAUCAACGAACAGAGGGCGGGCUGAGAGCCGUGACGUAGACGCUAAACGCCGAAUCACGGUUGUAGUCUGUUUCGAACAAGCCUACAGAAAGCUCUGUUGUGGAGAACCGGCACUUGCCAACUUAAACCCGAACAAGAAAAGUGUUUGUUAAACAUUUGAAUGGAGAUUAUGUUGUUGCCCUGCUCCUGACAAGUUUUUGGAAAAGUUUAAUUUAUCAACUUUACCGAUCGUCAGCGAGAAACUGUGUGCAGCACAGCUUGACGUGCACAACGAUCGAGAAAUCAUGGAAGGAAUUAUAUUGUUCACAGUUAAUGUUGGAGGACGCGUGGGCAAGCAUUAUUUGGUGACAUUCCUGAUUAACCAGAAAAUAAGGUAGGGAGAUUUAAUUUACAUAUGGUUAUUGUUGUCUGGUGGAAGAGUUUGAGAGGAGAGAGGGGCUUUCCUCCCGUUAGACGUGAGUGGAAAGCCACCGUAAGGAUAGUGUUCAACUAGCUCUGGCCCGAUUUACUUUACAUAAUCUGCAAAAGUCGUUCAUAGCCAUGUUAACUCUGGUAUUUCGCUCGAUGGGUUUCACAUCAUACGUGUAUUUUACAGCAGAGAUUCGAUGCGGCUGAUCCGGCGCAUAAAGCACAUCAUAUCCAAAUGUUAUGUGUGAUUGGCUUACGUUUAGACCAAUGAUUUUAAACUUCAGACAAGCCCCUCCCACGAGAAGGAAAACGAUUGUCAAUUAUGCCCAGCCAGACUCUGUCAUGAAGCGAAGCAAAAUAGCAGAGGAUGGUAUUACCAGGCUAUUGCAACCAUGCAUUAUAAUGAAAAUGCAGACCGUGAGCAAGCUGUAACCAAAGCAGGAGAGGCAAAGUUCAAGGUUGUGUUCCCAAAAUCUAAGAGAGGGGAAUGCGUCGCAAGGCCAGUAAAAACACAAGCGACAUACUUUUAUGUGGAUGACCUGAUCAGGCUUGUGUUUGACGAGGUGCUUGAGGACCCAGCUCCAUUUGUUGAAAAGCUGAAGGAAAUCCCGAUUCCAUUGGACCUGGCAUCACAAUUCGAGAGGCCUUCUAAGGAGGACGUGAUUGCACGCCAUCUCACGCGCUUCAGUUUAGGGGUGGUCGGAAGCCGACAUACCGACCAUCCUGAUCGGGAAACUCCAAGCGGAUCCUAAGAACAACACACGAUGGGAUGACAACUCUAUUGUGUCGUCCUAGAUAGCCCCAACACCAGCUGACAAAGCUUCGAUACGCUGUGUAUCUGUAACCUCUGUAAGCAUUAAAAUGGACAAUUAUUCAGAGGAGAACAAUAUAGGAUAUAGUAUAGUAUAUUAUAAUUACUAAAGCAUGUUUAUUUGAAUAUUUUUACAAUUUUAAUAUAUUGCAAUAAAAAACUUUUGGCUGAGU